rnacentral:rRNA from 1 species
AACGAACGCUGGCGGCAUGCCUAACACAUGCAAGUUGAACGAGACCUUCGGGUCUAGUGGCGCACGGGUGCGUAACGCGUGGGAACCUGCCCUUAGGUUCGGAAUAACUCCCCGAAAGGGGUGCUAAUACCGGAUAAUGUCUUCGGACCAAAGAUUUAUCGCCUUUGGAUGGGCCCGCGUUGGAUUAGCUAGUUGGUAGGGUAAAAGCCUACCAAGGCGACGAUCCAUAGCUGGUCUGAGAGGAUGAUCAGCCACACUGGGACUGAGACACGGCCCAGACUCCUACGGGAGGCAGCAGUGGGGAAUAUUGGACAAUGGGCGAAAGCCUGAUCCAGCAAUGCCGCGUGAGUGAUGAAGGCCUUAGGGUUGUAAAGCUCUUUUACCCGGGAUGAUAAUGACAGUACCGGGAGAAUAAGCUCCGGCUAACUCCGU